rnacentral:rRNA from 1 species
GGGAUUGCCUCAGUAACGGCGAGUGAAGCGGCAACAGCUCAAAUUUUAAAGCUGGCGUCUUUGGCGCCCGCGUUGUAAUUUGGAGAGGCAUCUUCGGUUUGGGCGCCAGCCUAUGUUCCUUGGAACAGGACGUCACAGAGGGUGAGAAUCCCGUGCCUGGCUGGCCGUCCCUUUCCAUGUGAAGUGCCUUCGACGAGUCGAGUUGUUUGGGAAUGCAGCUCAAAAUGGGUGGUAAAUUUCAUCUAAAGCUAAAUAUUGGCGGGAGACCGAUAGCGCACAAGUAGAGUGAUCGAAAGAUGAAAAGCACUUUGAAAAUAGAGUUAAAAAGUACGUGAAAUUGUUGAAAGGGAAGCGCUUGAGACCAGACUCGGCCGGAGAUGAUCAGCCGUCCUUCUGGGCGGUGCACUCGUUUCCGGCCGGGCCAGCAUCGGUUGAGACGGCGGGAUAAAGGCCCGGGGAAUGUGGCUCCUUUCGGGGAGUGUUAUAGCCCCGGGCGCAAUGCCGCCAGCCUCGACCGAGGACCGCGCUUAAUUGCUAGGAUGCUGGCGUAAUGGUCUUCAGCGACCCGUCUUGAAACACGGACCAAGGAGUCUAACAUCUAUGCGAGUGUUUGGGUGUCAAACCCUUGCGCGUAAUGAAAGUGAACGGAGGUGGGAACCCCUCGCGGGGCGCACCAUCGACCGGUCCUGAUGUCUUCGGAUGGAUCUGAGUAGGAGCAUAGCUGUUGGGACCCGAAAGAUGGUGAACUAUGCCUGAAUAGGGUGAAGCCAGAGGAAACUCUGGUGGAGGCUCGCAGCGGUUCUGACGUGCAAAUCGAUCGUCAAAUUUGGGUAUAGGGGCGAAAGACUAAUCGAACCAUCUAGUAGCUGG